GGGCGUUUAGCUCAGUUGGUUAGAGCGCCUCGUUUACACCGAGGAGGUCUAGGGUUCGAAUCCCUAAGCGCCUACAA
rnacentral:tRNA from 2 species